rnacentral:rRNA from 1 species
AACGAACGCUGGCGGCAGGCCUAAUACAUGCAAGUCGAACGGGCGUAGCAAUACGUCAGUGGCGGACGGGUGAGUAACACGUGGGAACAUGCCUUUCGGUUCGGAAUAACGCAGGGAAACUUGCGCUAAUACCGGAUGACCCGGCGACGGAAAAGAUUUAUCGCCGAAAGAUUGGCCCGCGUAGGAUUAGCUAGUUGGUGAGGUAACGGCCCACCAAGGCGACGAUCCUUAGCUGGUUUGAGAGAACGAUCAGCCACACUGGGACUGAGACACGGCCCAGACUCCUACGGGAGGCAGCAGUAGGGAAUCUUGGACAAUGGGGGAAACCCUGAUCCAGCCAUGCCGCGUGAGUGAUGAAGGCCUUCGGUUGUAAACUACUUUCGUCGCGCCGGCGAUAAUGACGGUAGCGCGAGAAGAAGACUCCGGCUAAC